ACAGAAGAAGAGACGUUAAGGAUUGCUUGAAUGCUGAGAACAAUAUCUAUGUGACAACUAUUCGACGAUCAAUAACUGGCACGACUUUACGAAAAGUUCACGUUUGUAUAUUGUUAAGACUCUCACUUUCUGCGGAUUGAUUUUCUCUGGAAUUUUCUAGAUUUUCGUACACGCGCUUGGGGAAGUUGUGUCUAUAUAGUAUUUUCAAAGAAUGAAAUACUAGUUCGAGCAGUUAUUCUUAGAUGGGGGUAUUCCUCGAAUCGUAUUUAAUUCCUAACCUUACUAUUUGUAUUGCUAUUUGCCAUCAAGAAUUACAGGCUAGUAGAAGUGAUUUCUGAUUAUAUAUUUGGAAAGAUAUUUUUCACAGAGAGGAAAGAUAUUUUUCAUACGUCGGAGGUGAACUUUUCCUGAUCAAUCUAGAACAAACAUUAAACUAGUAGUAGAUUAGAUUUGAUAUCAUACUUGCGAAUAGAAAGUAAUUUGCAAACAUGUCAGGAACCUCUCCAAAGCAAACAUUAUUUAAAACAUUUUUGCCUGCGUUUGUCAUGGUUCCAGUUUUAAUGGCAUUCCAUUUAGCCUGGUAUAAAAUGCAAUACAAUGAUGCAUUAAUUUCUCCGGAGGAGAGAAAUAGAAUAAAAGCAUUUAAGUUUCUUGACAAGUACAAAUUUUUAAUAGGUGAGGAUAGCACAACAGACGUUGAGAAAACUGAAUAAAUAUUGGUUAUUAUUUGAGUGAUGUAAAAUUUUAUUUGUAAUAAAUAGUUGUAAAAGUAAA